UAAUCCUUAGAGAAGAUGGGUACCCCCAGUGGGGGUUAAUAGGGAAGCCGGUUCAAGGCCGGCACGGUCCCGCCGCUGUAACCGGGGACGAAACCUGCGGUAAGCCACUGUUUCUCAAAAGGAAACGGGAAGGCGCAGGGAUUAGGAGGAUCCGGGAGUCAGAAGACCUGCCCAUCAGGCUGGCCCGCG
rnacentral:ncRNA from 2 species